CACGUAGGGUGCGAGCGUUGUCCGGAAUUAUUGGGCGUAAAGAGCUCGUAGGUGGUUUGUCGCGUUGUUCGUGAAAACUCACAGCUCAACUGUGGGCGUGCGGGCGAUACGGGCAGACUGGAGUACUGCAGGGGAGACUGGAAUUCCUGGUGUAGCGGUGGAAUGCGCAGAUAUCAGGAGGAACACCGGUGGCGAAGGCGGGUCUCUGGGCAGUAACUGACGCUGAGGAGCGAAAGCGUGGGGAGCGAACAGG
rnacentral:rRNA from 1 species